AAAGAAAACGCAGGGGUCGGGUUUCAAACCUGGAGCUGGAACCCAACGUUCCACAUAUAGUGCACAAACUAGUUGAGCCCCACAACCUUUUCUGUUUUAACCCGCUUCGAAUUAUUGCCCGAGGAGGGGCUCACACCUGGUUAGCUAGUUGGUGAGAUAAUAGCUUACCAAGGCUUAAACUCAACCCGAAACACGUUGAUACUCCUCCUUUAACCUCCCGUGCAAACCAUGACCUCCAAACCCGACCCGAAUGUUUCUCCGGUAUACACGACCGUUUGACUUCAUUCCGGUGCCAUUUGGUUCAGUUUUUAUGGCAAGUAAAGAUCCCUAUCAAUGAAUCAUCCACUAACAAUCCAUAAUUAACACCAUUAGAUCGAAUUUAUACUCCAUUAAAGCAUCCUUAUUAUUAUCAAGCACACAAUUGGGUUCUCUAUCAAAACAAGAAAUUGGUUUGUAAAACUUGUACUCGCUGAACUCUUGACACUUUAUACACCAAACCCCAUUGAGAUUUCCUCAUUUCAUCAACCAUGUAUCGCGAAUCAAUCCGAAGAAGUUUAUAGGGCUCGUAUUUUCAAACAAUGAUUUCUCCUUCAAUUCUUAUCCAAAUCAGAUAGACUUGUAUUGGGCCCCCAACUUGAUAAUGCAAUCAACAGGUCGUUAGGUGCUUAGAUGGAGCUUGCACAGGAGGACGGGAUCGUUGUGGGACAUGGACUGUUGAGUUCCAUGUUAAACUUAUGAACUUUUAAACUUACGUUUUGGGUUUUGAACUUUAUGCUUCCGCUGAUAACUUGAACUUGUUGAAUUGUUUGACACUAAUUAUAUUGUUUGGUUUGGACUUUUAUUUACUUAAUUAUUUAUGGUUCAA